rnacentral:rRNA from 1 species
CCUGACGCAGCGACGCCGCGUGAGGGAUGACGGCCUUCGGGUUGUAAACCUCUUUCAGCAGGGACGAAGCGCAAGUGACGGUACCUGCAGAAGAAGCACCGGCCAACUACGUGCCAGCAGCCGCGGUAAUACGUAGGGUGCGAGCGUUGUCCGGAAUUAUUGGGCGUAAAGGGCUCGUAGGCGGUUUGUCACGUCGGGAGUGAAAACUCAGGGCUCAACCCUGAGCCUGCUUCCGAUACGGGCAGACUAGAGGUAUGCAGGGGAGAACGGAAUUCCUGGUGUAGCGGUGAAAUGCGCAGAUAUCAGGAGGAACACCGGUGGCGAAGGCGGUUCUCUGGGCAUUACCUGACGCUGAGGAGCGAAAGUGUGGGGAGCGAACAGGAUUAGAUACCCUGGUAGUCCACACCGUAAACGUUGGGCGCUAGGUGUGGGACUCAUUCCACGAGUUCCGUGCCGCAGCUAACGCAUUAAGCGCCCCGCCUGGGGAGUACGGCCGCAAGGCUAAAACUCAAAUGAAUUGACGG